rnacentral:rRNA from 1 species
GACGAACGCUGGCGGCGUGCUUAACACAUGCAAGUCGAACGGAAAGGCCCUGCUUUUGUGGGGUGCUCGAGUGGCGAACGGGUGAGUAACACGUGAGUAACCUGCCCUUGACUUUGGGAUAACUUCAGGAAACUGGGGCUAAUACCGGAUAGGAGCUCCUGCUGCAUGGUGGGGGUUGGAAAGUUUCGGCGGUUGGGGAUGGACUCGCGGCUUAUCAGCUUGUUGGUGGGGUAGUGGCUUACCAAGGCUUUGACGGGUAGCCGGCCUGAGAGGGUGACCGGCCACAUUGGGCCUGAGAUACGGCCCAGACUCCUACGGGAGGCAGCAGUGGGGAAUAUUGCACAAUGGGCGGAAGCCUGAUGCAGCAACGCCGCGUGCGGGAUGACGGCCUUCGGGUUGUAAACCGCUUUCGCCUGUGACGAAGCGUGGGUGACGGUAAUGGGUAAAGAAGCACCGGCUAACUACGUG